ACGGCAAGCACUGGAAAUCCAUAAGUGGUUUGUAUGCCUGACCCACUCUUUUUUUUUUUUUUAAGAUUUUUAUUUAUUUAUUCAUGAGAGAGAGAGAGAGAAAUAGAGAAAGAUAGAGAUAGAGAGAGAGAGAGAGAGGCAGAGGGAGAAGCAGGUUCCAUCGCCUGCCUUCGGCCCAGGGUGUGAUCCUGGAGUCCCAGGAUUGAGUCCCGCAUUGGGGUCCCUGCAUAGAUCCUGUUUCUCCCUCUGCCUGUGUCUCUGACUCUUUCUCUCUCUCUCUGUCUCUCAUGAAUAAACAAAUUAAAUCUAAAAAAAAAAAAAAAACCCACAAAACUUUGCAGCUUCCAACAAUAAGAAUGUAUAUUGCAUAAUUUCUGUGAGUCAGGAAUCCAGGACAGGCAUGGACAGAUGCCUCUGGCUUGGCUCAGGGUACCUCAUAAAGCUAUAGUCAAGGUGACAGCCAGGGCUUGUCUUCCCAAGGCUCAACUUGGGAGGGAUCUGCUUCCCAGUUCAAUCCUGUGGUUGUUGGUAGGCUUUAGGUCCUUGCAGACUAUUGACCAGAGAUAUCAGUUCCUCUAUACAUGGGCCUUUCUAUAGGGCAGGUUACAACAUGUUAACUGUCUCCCCUUAGAAUAAACAGGGAGAGGAGGAGGGAAAGAUUGGGUAAAUAAGAUAGAAAUCACUGUCUUUUUUAAUUGGAUCUUGAGAGUGGCAUUCUGCUAUAUUCUGUUCAUCCUUUAGAAGUGAGUCAUUAGGUCCAGUGCACAUCUAAAAGGAGGGAGGAUAUAAGGGCAUGGAUACCAGGAGGUAGGGAUAAUUCGGGACCAUCUGGCAGACUACCUUUCACAGGUAUAGAUAGCAUGAAAUGGUUGUUCGAACACCUAUAUGUAGGUUUUCUGAGGUUGCUUAUAUGGAAUACUAUUGUAGUGCCUGUCACAGAGUAGAGAGAUAUUCCAUGCUAUUUCCUAUCACCCCCAGUACACUGCCUGGUGCGUAGUGCACACUCAAGUAUCUACAUGCUUAUGAAAUUCUAUUUUAUUAAAAAGAUGAGUUCCCUGUUACAAAGAGGUAAUGCUUGAUGUUAUCCUUUCUGGACAAUUUCCUUUCCAUGUUGUACUUUUCCAGCUACCAUCAAGGGAAUGGAUUUAAAUCUGAAAUUAGUCAUUCAAAAAUAAGGAAUAAAUGAAGCCAGUCUAUAAUGACCUUGCUUGAAUUACCUUUUUAAUUAUAAUUAGGAGUUUCUUCUUUAGGUCAGAAUACUGUUGUCAGUCAUCUACAGCAGAUGGUAAGAAUUAAGUUCCCUCAUGAUCUAGAAAAUAUUCUCUCUGCUAAUCUGGCCUCAUCUGGAAAUUCAAUAAAUAGAAUACAAAGCACACAGUAUGUGUAAUCUUAAUGACAUAGCCUGAGGCACUGGGUAGAUUGUCACACUGUGUCCUUUGUGAAUCUGGAAAACAAUGAUUUUUGGCUGUUUCUUCUGAAUUUUUCUAUACUUAAAUCCUUCAUCUCCCUUGCAGCAGAUGAUAAGUUAUUAUCCUUGAUAAUCCCAUUUUCAAAAAUAUUUAUUAAGUUUCUACUUCUAUGGGUAAAUACAAAAAACACUUUCAUGUGGUCCCUGGACGUUUUGGGUGAUUAUAAGGAGAGAUAACAAUGACCCAGGUGUAAAUUGAAAAUUAAACUUGAACUGAAAUGUGAUGUCCUAUAGAACUAGACCUGUUAUAAUGCAGAUCAGCCCUUUGUAACUGGUGGUAAGUUGUGAGACAAAUUCCACACAACUACUAUAGAGGGCAUAAGAUAUGAACAGUCAUGCUGUUCGUCGGAUAGUCAUACUGUCCAUUCUGUGAUAUAAUGCAAUACUAUAUGGUAAGGUUUUGUUCAUUUACAUUAUAUUCAAGAGACUGAAAGUAUUUGUAAGGGUACUUACAGCUUUUCUUUUUUUUUAAGAUUUACUUAUUUAUUUAUUCAUGAGAGACACAGAGAAAGGCAGAGAGAAGGCAGAGGGAGAAGCAGGCUCCCCUUGGGGAGCCCAAUGUGGGGCUCAAUCGCAGGACCCUGGGAUCACAAUCUGAGCUAAAGGCAGAUGCUCAACCACUGAGCCACUCAGGCAUCCCAAAACUUAUAGGUUUUUGAUUAGAGAUAUCUAGGGAGGGUUUAUUUGCGUUGUUUUAUAGACAAGGAUGUUAACUUGAGGGAGAUAUUUAGAAAUGUAUGUAGACUCUUGUAGGCAUUCUAAUAAAGCUUUUAGAUAAUGAAGCUGGAUUUUAUAUUGGUUGAAAUGACAAAAUAAUGAGUCUAAAUAUUUUUUCUCUUCUGGUAUGCUUUGUUUAGAGUGACAAUUAAAAGAUGCCCAGGAUGUCUGUUGCUGCCUUUAGAAUCAGAGGAUUUUAAGGUAGAAUUAAACUAGAGGUCACUGUGAUCAAUCAGCCAUAAAAGUCUUUUUGUUAAACUUAUGAUCACACCAUCUACUCUAGUGUUCAAAGUACUUUACAAGGGAGAAUAAAAACAAGUGUGCUAACCAAUAAAAAGUUAGAUUUUUAGCAGCUAAUCCAUGGGGGUAGAUACCAUGUUUUUCACCAUGGCUCCAUUGGAAAUGAGUGCCAGAAGCCCAUUUCCACUAUAAAUACUAUCCAGUGACAUUAUAUCAUAAAAAACUACGCAAGCUUACUGUGUAUAUCUAGAACCUGAAUGCAAAAUUAUGCCUAAACUGUUUUAAUUGGCUCAUGCAUGAGGAGACUAAAUAAGAUGACACAUGUUUCAGCAUAUACAUUUUCUAAACAAGUAGGAGAGCAAGAGGCGGUAAAAUAAGGUGUUAUUCAAUUCAUUGACUGUAUUAACAACUUGGCUCUGUUUGUUGAUGUUUGUUCCUGCUACAAAACAUAUAGUUUUGUCAGAUUAAAAAAAAAA
rnacentral:lncRNA from 1 species